rnacentral:rRNA from 1 species
AUUGAACGCUAGCGGGAUGCUUUACACAUGCAAGUAGAACGAGUGGCGGCCGGGUGAGUAAUAUAUCGGAACGUGCCCAGUAGCGGGGGAUAACUACUCGAAAGAGUGGCUAAUACCGCAUACCAUUGGGUCGGCCGAUAUCUGAGUAGCUAGUUGGGGGGGUAAAGGCUCACCAAGGCAACGAUCCGUAGCUGGUUUGAGAGGACGACCAGCCACACUGGGACUGAGACACGGCCCAGACUCCUACGGGAGGCAGCAGUGGGGAAUUUUGGACAAUGGGGGAAACCCGGAUCCAGCCAUCCCGCGUGUAUGAGAAGGCCUUCGGGUUGUAAAGUACUUUUGUCAGAGAAGCGGUAUCUGCAGAAUAAGCACCGGCUAACUACGUGCCAGCAGCCGCGGUAAUUC